ACGGCGCCCUUCCUAGAAUGAGCCAAUGAGGAAGGCGAAAAGGGGCGCGCGGGCAAAAAAGGCCCGGCGUGGCCCCGGGUGCCAAAGUUCCGUGUUCCGUGCCGCAGAAGUUUCUCGGGGUCUUAGAAUGGGCUCUUCCUGCCGUCAUCUCCGGAUGGUACCCACUGUAUCCAGCUGCAGGCUGAGAGCCUUGGAAAAUAAUGAGAUGUAUCCAUGAAAGCCUCGUAAGGAUAGUUAUGAGACCACCCUGGAGAUUAAUUGGCUCAUGCCUGCAACUUGAAGAGCAGAAACUUGAGUAUUAAUAAUAGUGAUCUAGGGGGCUUCCGUGGUGGCUCAGUGGUUAAGAAUCCGCCGGCCAGUGCAGGAGACAUGGGUUCGAUCCCUGGUCCGGGAAGAUCCCACAUGCUGCAGUGCAGCUAAGCCUGUGCACCACAGCUAUUGAGCCUGCACUCCAGGGCUCGGGAACAGCAACGACUGAAGCCCAAAUGCCUAGAGUCCAGGCUCCACAACAAGAGAGGCCACCCUAGUGAGGAGACCAAGCACCUCAAUGAAGAGUAGCCCCUGCUCCCUGCAACUAGAGAAAAGCCCAUGCAGCAACGAAGACCCAGCACAGCCCAAAAUAAAUAAAAUUGUUAAAUAAUGAUCUAACAUCUUUGAAAGGAGAA